rnacentral:rRNA from 1 species
UGGGGAAUAUUGGACAAUGGGGGCAACCCUGAUCCAGCAAUGCCGCGUGUGUGAAGAAGGCCUGAGGGUUGUAAAGCACUUUCAGUGGGGAGGAGUUUAUAUUGGUUAAGAGCUGAUAUAAAGGACGUUACCCAGAGAAGAAGCACCGGCUAACUCCGUGCCAGCAGCCGCGGUAAUACGGAGGGUGCAAGCGUUAAUCGGAAUUACUGGGCGUAAAGGGUGCGUAGGUGGUUUAAUAAGUUAUCUGUGAAAGCCCUGGGCUUAACCUGGGAAUUGCAGAUAAGACUGUUAGACUGGAGUAUAGGAGAGGGUAGUGGAAUUUCCGGUGUAGCGGUGAAAUGCGUAGAGAUCGGAAGGAACACCAGUGGCGAAGGCGGCUACCUGGCCUGAUACUGACACUGAAGCACGAAAGCGUGGGGAGCAAACAGG